rnacentral:rRNA from 1 species
CCUACGGGAGGCAGCAGUGGGGAAUAUUGGACAAUGGGGGCAACCCUGAUCCAGCCAUGCCGCGUGUGUGAAGAAGGCCCUCGGGUUGUAAAGCACUUUCAGUGAGGAAGAACGCCUGGUGGUUAAUACCCAUCAGGAAAGACAUCACUCACAGAAGAAGCACCGGCUAACUCCGUGCCAGCAGCCGCGGUAAUACGGAGGGUGCGAUCGUUAAUCGGAAUUACUGGGCGUAAAGCGCGCGUAGGUGGCUUGAUAAGCCGGUUGUGAAAGCCCCGGGCUCAACCUGGGAACGGCAUCCGGAACUGUCAAGCUAGAGUGCAGGAGAGGAAGGUAGAAUUCCCGGUGUAGCGGUGAAAUGCGUAGAGAUCGGGAGGAAUACCAGUGGCGAAGGCGGCCUUCUGGACUGACACUGACACUGAGGUGCGAAAGCGUGGGUAGCAAACAGGAUUAGAUACCCCGGUAGUC